rnacentral:rRNA from 1 species
CCUACGGGAGGCAGCAGUGGGGAAUAUUGCACAAUGGGGGAAACCCUGAUGCAGCGACGCCGCGUGAGUGAAGAAGUAUUUCGGUAUGUAAAGCUCUAUCAGCAGGGAAGAUAAUGACGGUACCUGACUAAGAAGCCCCGGCUAACUACGUGCCAGCAGCCGCGGUAAUACGUAGGGGGCAAGCGUUAUCCGGAUUUACUGGGUGUAAAGGGAGCGUAGGUGGCAGGGCAAGUCAGAUGUGAAAACCAGGGGCUCAACCCCGGGAGUGCAUUUGAAACUGUCCAGCUGGAGUGCAGGAGAGGUAAGCGGAAGUCCUAGUGUAGCGGUGAAAUGCAGAGAUAUUAGGAGGAACACCAGUGGCGAAGGCGGCUUACUGGACUGUAACUGACACUGAGGCUCGAAAGCGUGGGGAGCAAACAGGAUUAGAUACCCUAGUAGUC